UUGUUUCCUUGGUGGGUUCGCCCACCACUAGGACAAACAUAAACCUUUUGUAAUUGCAAUCAGCGUCAGUAACAAAUUAAUAAUUACAACUUUCAACAACGGAUCUCUUGGUUCUGGCAUCGAUGAAGAACGCAGCGAAAUGCGAUAAGUAGUGUGAAUUGCAGAAUUCAGUGAAUCAUCGAAUCUUUGAACGCACAUUGCGCCCUUUGGUAUUCCAAAGGGCAUGCCUGUUCGAGCGUCAUUUGUACCCUCAAGCUUUGCUUGGUGUUGGGCGUCUUGUCUCUAGCUUUGCUGGAGACUCGCCUUAAAGUAAUUGGCAGCCGGCCUACUGGUUUCGGAGCGCAGCACAAGUCGCACUCUCUAUCAGCAAAGGUCUAGCAUCCAUUAAGCCUUUUUUCAACUUUUGACCUCGGAUCAGGUAGGGAUACCCGCUGAACUUA
rnacentral:rRNA from 1 species